rnacentral:sRNA from 1 species
GCCCUUCUGAGCUCUUUCUACCCAGCUCCCUCUGCCGGGUGGCCUGGAGGGCUCCUGGGGGAUCUGUGGUUUGCUGCUGAGCCUGUUGUCUGCUCAUCUCCUCAGGUGUGUGGUUGUGUUGUUCAAUCCCCGGAAACACAAACAGCACCACAUCCUCAACAGUUCCAGGAAAACCAUCACUGCCCUUGCCUUCUCCCCUGAUGGCAAGUACUUGGUCACUGGAGAGGUGAGUGAGGAAGAGGGCUGGCAGUACUGUAAAGAGGGCAGGUGUCCUGGCCUCCGCAGAGAGCUGCGGUCCUAGGCCUGCUGUCACUUUG